AUCCCAGCCAGCAGGAAGACAAACAUGUAAUUCUUAGUGGAGUCCAAAAGGCGCCCUUGACAAAGAGAGAACAAAGAUUUUAAUGGUAGUCAAAGACUCUCAAUAGAUUACAUUUAAAAUGAAACUCACCAGCAGAUGGAGGCCCAACCAGCACAGCAAUGGCUUCAAGCAGAAGAACUAAACCAAUGGCGCUGGAGAACUUCUCUGUACCCACAAUAGCCAUGAGGACCUCAAACUGCAAGGCCCCAACCAUGCCAUAAGAGAUGCC